rnacentral:rRNA from 1 species
GACGAACGCUGGCGGCGUGCCUAAUACAUGCAAGUAGAACGCACAGUUUAUACCGUAGCUUGCUACACCAUAGACUGUGAGUUGCGAACGGGUGAGUAACGCGUAGGUAACCUGCCUGGUAGCGGGGGAUAACUAUUGGAAACAAUAGCUAAUACCGCAUAAUAUUAAUUAUUGCAUGAUAAUUAAUUGAAAGGUGCAAUUGCACCACUACCAGAUGGACCUGCGUUGUAUUAGCUAGUAGGUGAGGUAACGGCUCACCUAGGCGACGAUACAUAGCCGACCUGAGAGGGUGAUCGGCCACACUGGGACUGAGACACGGCCCAGACUCCUACGGGAGGCAGCAGUAGGGAAUCUUCGGCAAUGGACGAAAGUCUGACCGAGCAACGCCGCGUGAGUGAAGAAGGUUUUCGGAUCGUAAAGCUCUGUUGUAAGAGAAGAACGGGUGUGAGAGUGGAAAGUUCACACUGUGACGGUAUCUUACCAGAAAGGGACGGCUAACUACGUG